AUGUGCAACCAGCAAACCAGGCUCCCUUCCUAUAAGCUGAUGCUCUGGAUGGAGAAUAGGGCAUGCGAGCAGUGCAACAACCAAGCACAUGCACUGAGAGCCCCGUGCCCAGGCUCCAUCACCCACCCAGCUCCCAGAUACUCAGAGGAAACCUCCUCCAGCUCCAGGUCAGCUCUGAUACCCGGUGCUGUAACACACAGAGAAAAGACCUGGGUGGUCUGCAAAUCCACAUUUCUGUGCUCCGUGAUCCCAUUGUGCCCCCAAAAAGCAAAUAUUCCAUGGAUAUUCAUCGAGGAAAGGGUGUUUUUUUGCUCAGCACCAGUCCCUGUGUCUGCUGUGCCCCAGGGUGAUGGAUCCACGGGUGGUGAGGAGCUCCGAGAGGGACAGGUGGAGCAGGGAAUGCCUCCAUGCCUUCGGAUAAAUGGGGCUGAGGAACAGUGUGAUGCUGGGAUGGCAUCGCUGAGGCUGACUUUCCUGGCCCCAGAGGUUGGAUAUUCACUGGCCUUGCCUUUUUAACGUGCAUCCUACAAGCAAAGAGCUUCAAGGCUGAGGGAAGGAGCCUCGCUCGCGUGUGCUGAAAGGAGAUGUCUGCAGAGGCUGGGAGAGCGCACGGCUUCAGAAACUUCCAGUCAGUACCCGACCCUGCACCAGCUUUCCCCUCCUUUCAGCCGCCGCCACGUCCUUUAAACACUUUUUUCCUGUUUCUCCGAAGAGGAAAAAAUAGAUGAGAAACGAUCGCAUUGAUGUUGCGCAAACGGGGCGCUCGCGGAAAGGCCUCGUUGGCACGGCUCCUCACCCAGGAGAAAAGCCGCUGCCGAUUUCCAGGGAAACACAAAUGUCACCCUUUUUGGAAAAGGGGAUACCCAAAAAAUGCCAUCCCGCUGGCUAGGGUGGGCCUUGGGUUGUGGAAGGUGGUGGAGAAGUGGGUAAAAGGUUGGGUUUGGCGGGGUGAGAAGCAGAGCUGACCCGUGGUUGACAUCAGGCACAGCCCAGGGGCUCGGCAGAGGCCAGGAUAA
rnacentral:lncRNA from 1 species